UACGUAGGGUGCGAGCGUUGUCCGGAAUUAUUGGGCGUAAAGAGCUCGUAGGUGGUUUGUCGCGUUGUCCGUGAAAACUCACAGCUUAACUGUGGGCGUGCGGGCGAUACGGGCAGACGUGGAGUACUGCGAGGGGAGACUGGAAUUCCUGGUGUAGGCGGUGGAAUGCGCAGAGUAUCAGGGAGGAACACCCGGUGGGCGAAG
rnacentral:rRNA from 1 species